AUGGGCUCCAGCAUCAGCAUCAAACAGGAACCAAGUCAACAAGUUGUUGAAGAGGGAAGAAGCAUCAAUGUGAGCUGUGAGUAUGAUGCUUCUAUCUACAACAUCCAGUGGUACCGACAACAGCAGAGAUCCAGACCUGAGUUCCUGCUCUACAUCACAGAGGGAGGAUCUGUUCAUCCAACUCGCUCAGAUUUCUCAGCUCACAUCAACAAAAAACAGAAACAUGUGGAUCUGCAGAUCUCCUCUGCUGCAGAGACAGACUCUGCUGUGUACUACUGUGCUCUGCAGCCCACAGUGACAGGAAACAGCUAAACUCUGUCCAAAAACCUGCAGAGCAAAGACAACACAAUACUGCACAACAUCCACUAGAGGGACUCACAGGCUGUUAAAGCUCUGAUUGUUGA